rnacentral:rRNA from 1 species
UACGUAGGUGGCAAGCGUUGUCCGGAUUUACUGGGCGUAAAGGGCGUGCAGGCGGUUUGCUAAGUCUAGGGUGAAAGCUCCCGGCUCAACUGGGAGAGGUCCUUGGAUACUGGCAAACUUGAGGGAUGCAGAGGAAAGUGGAAUUCCCGGUGUAGUGGUGAUAUGCGUAGAUAUCGGGAGGAACACCAGUGGCGAAGGCGGCUUUCUGGGCAUUUCCUGACGCUGAGACGCGAAAGCGUGGGGAGCGAACCGG